UACGUAGGGGGCAAGCGUUGUCCGGAAUCAUUGGGCGUAAAGAGCGCGUAGGCGGCCCGAUAAGUCCGCUGUGAAAGUCAAGGGCUCAACCCUUGAAUGCCGGUGGAUACUGUCGGGCUAGAGUCCGGAAGAGGCGAGUGGAAUUCCCGGUGUAGCGGUGAAAUGCGCAGAUAUCGGGAGGAACACCAGUAGCGAAGGCGGCUCGCUGGGCCAUUCCUGACGCUGAGACGCGAAAGCUAGGGGAGCGAACAGG
rnacentral:rRNA from 1 species